rnacentral:tRNA from 1 species
GCCAGCAUAAUGUAGUGGUUAGAGUGCUGGACUAUGACUCUAGAGACCAGGGUUCAAAUUCCCACUCUGCCA